rnacentral:rRNA from 1 species
CGGUCCGAGUUGUAAUUUGUAGAGGAUGCUUCGAGCAUGGUCUGGCCUAAGUUCCUUGGAACAGGACGUCAUAGAGGGUGAGAAUCCCGUAUGCGGCCAGGUGCCUACGCUCAUGUGAAGCUCCUUCGACGAGUCGAGUUGUUUGGGAAUGCAGCUCAAAAUGGGUGGUAAAUUUCAUCUAAAGCUAAAUAUUGGCCAGAGACCGAUAGCGCACAAGUAGAGUGAUCGAAAGAUGAAAAGCACUUUGGAAAGAGAGUUAAACAGUACGUGAAAUUGUUGAAAGGGAAGCGCUUGCAACCAGACUUGCGCGCGGCCGAUCAUCCGGUGUUCUCACCGGUGCACUCGGCCGUGCUCAGGCCAGCAUCGGUUUUGGCGGCUGGAUAAAGGCCCUAGGAAUGUAGCUCCUCUCGGGGAGUGUUAUAGCCUAGGGUGCAAUGCAGCCUGCUGGGACCGAGGACCGCGCUUCGGCUAGGAUGCUGGCGUAAUGGUUGUAAGCGGCCCGUCUUGAAACACGGACCAAGGAGUCUAACAUCUAUGCGAGUGUUUGGGUGUCAAACCCAUACGCGUAAUGAAAGUGAACGGAGGUGAGAACCCUUAAGGGUGCAUCAUCGACCGGUCCUGAAGUUUACGGAAGGAUCUGAGUAAGAGCAUAGCUGUUGGGACCCGAAAGAUGGUGAACUAUGCCUGAAUAGGGUGAAGCCAGAGGAAACU